GACGAACGCUGGCGGCGUGCUUAACACAUGCAAGUCGAACGAAGUGGCGCACGGGUGAGUAACGCGUAAUCAACCUGCCCUUCAGAGGGGGACAACAGUUGGAAACGACUGCUAAUCCCGCAUACUGAAGGAGGGGAUUGCGUCUGAUUAGCUAGUUUGAGGGGUAACGGCCCACCAAGGCGAUGAUCAGUCGCCGGUCUGAGAGGAUGAACGGCCAAAGUGGGACGGAGACACGGCCCAGACUCCUAAGGGAGGCAGCAGUGGGGAAACAUCCGCAAUGGAGGAAAGGCUGACGGAGCAACGCCGCGGGAGUGAUGACGGGCUUCGGGUUGUAAAGCUCUGUUAAUCGGGACGCGGUACCGGAAGAGAAAGCCACGGCUAACUACGUGCCAGCAGCCGCGGUAAUAC
rnacentral:rRNA from 1 species